rnacentral:rRNA from 1 species
AUGUCUAAGAAAAUUGUGAUCAGAGCCGAUCUCGUCGGCAAGAAGUGCACGAGCGGGAUCCUGUCAAUCGUUUCCAAGCUCGAGGGUAUACCUCUCUCUGACUCUCUUCAUUCCUGUGUAUCCUGCAACUACUUCUCUUUACCGAAUGUAUGUGACCCUCCAGGGAUCAAGUCCAUGGUGGUCGACGAGGACAAGUGCACGCUGACGGUGGUCGGCACGGUGGACCCGGUGUGCGUGGUGCACCAGCUGAGGAAGUCGUGCUUCGCGGCGUCCAUCGUCAGCGUCGAGGACGACAAGCCCAAGGAGAAGAAGACCCCCUGCCAGGAGGCCUGCGAGAAGGCCUGGAAGGACAAGUACGAGAAGGCGUGCAAGGAGAGGUGCGAGAAGGCGUGCAAGGAGCCGUGCUGCGACGACUGCGGCGAGAAGGGGACGCCGUACGGCGGCCACGGGUACCGCUGCACGCCGGGCUGCUACUCCAGCCCCUGUGGCCUGCCCAGCUGCCACUACUACAGCUCCGGCUACGGCUACGGCAUGCGUGCGCCGCCCCUGGGAUACACCUGGUACGAGUAG